rnacentral:rRNA from 1 species
GAUGAACGCUAGCUACAGGCUUAACACAUGCAAGUCGCGGGGCAGCAUGGGGGUUGCUUGCCACUCCCGAUGGCGACCGGCGCACGGGUGAGUAACGCGUAUCCAACCUGCCCUUCACCACGGGAUAACCCGGCGAAAGUCGGACUAAUACCGUAUGUUGUCCAUUGACGGCAUCCGAUUUGGACGAAAGGCUUUGCGGUGAAGGAUGGGGAUGCGUCCGAUUAGCCAGACGGCGGGGUAACGGCCCACCGUGGCUACGAUCGGUAGGGGUUCUGAGAGGAAGGUCCCCCACACUGGAACUGAGACACGGUCCAGACUCCUACGGGAGGCAGCAGUGAGGAAUAUUGGUCAAUGGGCGUAAGCCUGAACCAGCCAAGUAGCGUGCAGGAUGACGGCCCUAUGGGUUGUAAACUGCUUCUAUGCGGGGAUAAAGUGGCCCACGUGUGGGCUUUUGCAGGUACCGCAUGAAUAAGGACCGGCUAAUUCCGUG